UCGGACUACUGGGGUUUCUAAUCCUGUUUGCUCCCCACGCUUUCGUGCAUGAGCGUCAGUACAGGCCCAGGGGGCUGCCUUCGCCAUCGGUGUUCCUCCUGAUAUCUACGCAUUUCACUGCUACACCAGGAAUUCCACCCCCCUCUGCCGUACUCUAGCCUUGCAGUCACAAACGCAGUUCCCAGGUUAAGCCCGGGGAUUUCACAUCUGUCUUACAAAACCGCCUGCGCACGCUUUACGCCCAGUAAUUCCGAUUAACGCUCGCACCCUACGUAUUACCGCGGCGGCUGGCACU
rnacentral:misc_RNA from 1 species